rnacentral:ribozyme from 1 species
GGUCGGUCCUUCCGGGCAUCACAGCGCAUGACUGUGUGAGGCCGGGAGGGAAGACCGCGAGGGAAACACGGCUAAGCAUCCUACUCCUUUCGGGGGAUGACAGCGCCGGUACAUUAACUCGC